AGAGUUUGAUCCUGGCUCAGGAUGAACGCUAGCUACAGGCUUAACACAUGCAAGUCGAGGGGAAACGAUAUUGAAAGCUUGCUUCCGAUAGGCGUCGACCGGCGCACGGGUGAGUAACGCGUAUCCAACCUGCCCACCACUUGGGGAUAACCUUGCGAAAGUAAGACUAAUACCCAAUGAUAUCUCUAGAAGACAUCUGAAAGAGAUUAAAGAUUUAUCGGUGAUGGAUGGGGAUGCGUCUGAUUAGCUUGUUGGCGGGGUAACGGCCCACCAAGGCGACGAUCAGUAGGGGUUCUGAGAGGAACGGUCCCCCANAUUGGAACUGAGACACGGUCCAAACUCCUACGGGAGGCA
rnacentral:rRNA from 1 species